UCCAGCUAAAUUCAUAUAUAGUACUUAUGAUGCGACCUCCUGUCAAUAUCUUUUAAAAUGGUCUUAUUUAACCCAUAAAGACCCCAAACUACAAAGACCAAAAUGAAAUGACAUUAAAAAUACCUUAAUUAGUUUAUUUACGUGCAUAAUUUUUAAAAACUGAGUCUAAAAUUUUUAAAAAAUUGAAAGUUACUUUCAAUAAUACUAAAAAGCAUCUAAAAGAGACUGAAAAUUUCUUUCCCUACAGAAAAAAUUAAACUCUUUAGAACUAUUGAUAUAUUAAAAAAGGAAACUGCCAAAACUUCUCACCCUUCUGCUUCUGCAUCUCUUUAUCCCUCCUUCUCCAAACUGCCUUGCCAAGACUUGACUUCUUUUUUCCUCCUCCCCAUACAAUCACUUAUCUUUUGUAAAUUAAUAUGUAUUAAUGUGGAGUCCUAAUUAGGGAAAAAGAGACAGGGUAGUGGGAGCAGGGGAAAGCAAAAUACGAAAUAAGAGAAAGCAGAUAAGCUGUAAGUCUGCCUUUCUUAAUGGUCCAGGACACAGAGCUGUCAUAACUCACAAUCUUCCUGUGGCCAGCUAUCACCAGAUCCUCGGCUGAUACAAAAAAUGCACGUCAGCUUCCUGCAACCUUGGUGUUGUCAGAACUGAACGUAGCACUCUGCAGCCCAAGAACCACCUAUUACAUCUCCAGGAAACCUUUGUUUCCUUGCAGUCAGUUCCUCUCUUGCUGGCUGCCUGUUACCUUCUUGAAAGUAUUUUCCUACUUUCUCUAAUAAAUCUGCCUAUCUUGGUAAAU
rnacentral:lncRNA from 10 species